UAACUCCAACCUACCCAUAACUAAGGGAGUAACCCAGCGAAAGUUGGACUAAUACCUUAUGUAUUCGUUUGAUCUCAUGAGAUUACGAAUAAAGAUUUAUCGGUUAGUGGAUGGGGAUGCGUCUGAUUAGCUUGUUGGCGGGUAACGGCCCACCAAGGCAACGAUCAGUAGGGGUUCUGAGAGGAAGGUCCCCCCACAUUGGAACUGAGACACGGUCCAAACUCCUACGGGAGGCAGCAGCC
rnacentral:rRNA from 1 species